rnacentral:rRNA from 1 species
CCUACGGGGGGCAGCAGUGGGGAAUAUUGCACAAUGGGGGAAACCCUGAUGCAGCGAUGCCGCGUAAAAGAAGAAGGUCUUAGGAUUGUAAAUUUUUGUCCUUGUUGAAGAAGAAGUGACGGUAGACAAGGAGGAAGCCCCGGCUAACUACGUGCCAGCAGCCGCGGUAAUACGUAGGGGGCAAGCGUUAUCCGGAAUUAUUGGGCGUAAAGGGUGAGUAGGCGGUUAUAUAAGCUAGAGGUGAAAGGCAGUGGCUCAACCAUUGUAAGCCUUUAGAACUGUAUGACUUGAGUGCAGGAGAGGAAAGUGGAAUUCCUAGUGUAGCGGUGAAAUGCGUAGAUAUUAGGAGGAACACCGGUGGCGAAGGCGACUUUCUGGACUGUAACUGACGCUGAUGCACGAAAGCGUGGGUAGCGAACAGGAUUAGAUACCCUGGUAGUCCACGCCGUAAACGAUGAGUGCUAGGUGUCUGCGUGAAAGCGUAGGUGCCGGAGUUAACGCAAUAAGCACUCCGCCUGGGGAGUACGCACGCAAGUGUAAAACUCAAAGGAAUUGACGGGGACCCGCACAAGCAGCGGAGCAUGUGGUUUAAUUCGAAGCAACGCGAAGAACCUUACCAGGACUUGACAUACCAUUGACAGACGCAUAAAAGUGUCCUCCCUUCGGGGUAAUGGAUACAGGUGGUGCAUGGUUGUCGUCAGCUCGUGUCGUGAGAUGUUGGGUUAAGUCCCGCAACGAGCGCAACCCUUAUGUUCAGUUACCAGCAUUUAGGAUGGGGACUCUGGACAGACUGCCGUUAAUAAGGCGGAGGAAGGUGGGGAUGACGUCAAAUCAUCAUGCCCCUUAUGUUCUGGGCUACACACGUGCUACAAUGGGAAGUACAAAGGGAGGCGAAGCCGUAAGGUGGAGCGAACCCCAAAAAGCUUUUCUCAGUUCGGAUUGUGGGCUGAAACUCGCCCGCAUGAAGUUGGAGUUGCUAGUAAUCGCAAAUCAGAAUGUUGCGGUGAAUACGUUCCCGGGUCUUGUACACACCGCCCGUC